GUCCACGCCCGUAAACGAUGCGCACUAGGUUUGUUAACCUCUGACGGUUAGCGAGCCGAAACAAAAGCGAUAAGUGCGCCGCCUGGGGAGUACGGCCGCAAGGCUAAAAACUCAAAGGAAUUGACGGGGGCUCACACAAGCGGUGGAGGAUGUGGCUCAAUUCGAAGCAACGCGAAGAACCUUACCCCGGGUUUGACAUGCUAGGAUUAGUUUUGUGAAAGCAAAAUGACGCGGCUUGCCGUGGAACUAGCACAGGUGCUGCAUGGCUGUCGU
rnacentral:rRNA from 1 species